rnacentral:rRNA from 1 species
UAAACUGGGAUUAGAUACCCCACUAUGCCCAGCCCUAAACUUUGACUUACACCACCCACCCCACGCCAGGGAACUACGAGCAACGCUUAAAACCCAAAGGACUUGACGGUACCCCACAUCCACCUAGAGGAGCCUGUCCUAUAAUUGAUGACCCCCGCUAAACCUUACCACUCUUAGUCUAUCAGCUUGUAUACUUCCGCCUUCAGCUUACCCCGUGAGCGUAAUUCAGUGAGCUUAAUGCCUACUCCGCCGAUACGUCAGGUCAAAGUGCAGCUAAUACAGUGGAAAGAGAUGGGCUACACUCUCUAACCUAGAGGAUACGAAAGACUAUGCUGAAACCAUAUCAAAAGGCGGAUUUAGAAGUAAAAAGGAAAUAAAGAGUCCUUUUUAACCCGGCCCUGGGGUGUGUACACACCGCCCGUCACCCUCA